ACUUCCCGCAGGGUAGCAGGCCGGAGUCAGUCUCAGCCUGUAGUUCGAGGGUUCAUGUUCAGGGGUCUGAGGUUUCCUGGAGCCUCCUCGGCCUUUCACCGCCUCCUACACGCUUGGAGGAGGCGUGGGACUUGCGUCUGACAGAGACAGGCACUUCCCAGAGCCCCAGCGUCACAGCCUUGGGAAAGAGCUGUUCUCCUAUGCCUAUUCCAUUGGAGUGUGGUGAGAUGGGAACCCGUGCAGCCGCAGCUUUUCUCGGACACCUAUGUUUGGGAGGGGACAGGCGGCACUCUGGAGACCCGACUGCGCAUGGGAAGCAGAGGGUUUAGGGCAUUUGGGGUCUAGAGUCUUCUGCCGCUCUAUGUUUCCCCCCAGGGUUCCACCAGGUUGGUGCGGGUUGACCUUGUGUUAGGCUGCACCCUGCAGGUCUGCAAGCCUUGUAGUUGCCCAGCAGCGGGUUGCAAGAAAGAGCAUGGAGACAGCGGUAGAGACAUCAAGGGUUUAUUGGAUAGGAAAUCUUUCAGCUCUGAAGCAAAGGCCCUGGGGUGAUACCCCACUGUGUAUGGCAGACAUCAGGCAGGACACAGGCAGUAGUCUUCCUCUGGGAGAGGAGAAGGAGGAGGAGGUUACCAAUUAUUGGGGAAUUGAUGUCAGGUGGGCUCAUUAGUUUCCAGGGAAACCAGUAGAAGAGUGUGUCCCUCAUUGCCCCUUUGGUUAACAACCAUCACUGGGGCAGGUGUUGCCCCUUGAUAAACUAGCAUGGUGUAGCCAUUCUGGUCUUGAUCUCAGACAGCAGUGAGCAGUGGCUUGAAGUGAGAUUUUAGUUCCCUGCCCAGGAUUUGGACCUGGGUAGCCCAAAAGAAAACCAGGAAUCCUAGGUGCUAGACCACCAAAGGCUAGGGGCUAGAAGCAAAGUUCCCCUGGCUCUUGCCUCAUUUGAAAAAUGAAUUUCUCAAGGAGGCAGAAACUGCAAAAACAGGUACAAAGUUUAUUGUUAGAGACACAACACAACAAGUGAGAGAGCACACGGAGAAACAGUUUAUUUAAGACAGAAGCAAGAUAGAGAUACGCACCCGGAGAGAAAGGGUGUGGGUGUCCUCCCUAAUGAGGAGAAGCGCAGUAGAGAGGAGGUCAAAUCAUUGGGGCUCGUGCUGUAGCACAAGGGAGCAAAGACGAGGAACAGGCACCCUUGCUCACUCCCUGAGAGGAGCUGCUUUGGUCCUUAAAUGGGGUAACAAUGGGAGCAGAUCCAUGGGUUGGGUAGGAGGCGUAGCCUAGGUGGUCAGCCCACCCCCUUGGUGGUGCUGUGUACCACGCUUUUGCUCCCAGCCCCUCAGAAACGGCAGUUGGUUUGUGGCUUUUUGUAUUUUUGUUCAUAAUUGCCCCAACUGCGUGUGUGUGCAGUUAUUUUUAGUCCCUUAUAGUUUCAUUGUAUUCCGUUGCUCAAGGAGAUGUCUGUCCAGGUGCACGCACUCUGGUAGAGGGUCCCAGGUCCCAGCCUAUCUCAGAAGGACCCAUAGGACAUUUCUGGAGAAACGAAGGCAGUGAACGGCCUCAGGGGUGACCAGCUGCAGUGUCAGAACUGCAGCGUAUCCAGAGCUGUGAACCCAGACAUUCUAGUCUUCUACUUUCUUUGCGUGCAUGUGAAAGUGAGGGGCAGAGAUGGUAGUGGAGACUGGGUUUUGACCAAUCUUCAAAAAGACCAGAUAUCUCAGGCAACCCUUUCCCUGGCUACUGCCAUUCUCCACAGAAGUCACGUGAGAAGGAGAGAAUUGCUGCUGUACAUCAAAAAAUCAAAUUCAAGCAGGGAAUGAACAAUAUUGGUGGAGACAUCUCUGUUUGAUUGGAUAACUGCUUAAAGAAUCAUUAGGCUUACUCUCCAGGUAUAAGACCAAGAAGUUAUCUCCAGAGGACAUUUAUGAAAUCAGUUUAUCCUGAUGGAAGAUAAUAGGAGGAAGUAAAACUCCUUGUCUUAAAGGAUCUAUUUUGAGAAAUGAGUGGCAGAGCAAAACAUCAGAAAAUUCAUACAGGCAAGAAACCCUGUGAAUGUAAGGAAUGUGGGAAAACGUUUAGUGCAUGUGGUCAACUUACCUGUCAGCAGAAAAUUCAUACAGGCAAGAAGCCCUGUGAAUGUUAAGGAAUGUGGGAAGGCCUUUAGACUUGAUUUUUACCUCAUUGAACACAGAAGAAUACAUACAGGAAGUUCGUAUUAGGAAAUAAACCUGUUAAUGUAACUGUUAACCAAGAAUUCUAAGAACAGAGACCUGGUUGAAGAAAAAAAGGAAAACGCUUUUAUUUGGGGUUUGUUAGAACUGCAGCCCAAGAAACACAACCCACUCGAAUUGUGUUCUGCUGGACUAUAAAAUGGGGUAGGCUUAAAAAGGUAAAAUACUGCAAAGUUACAUAAGUUGUCAAGAAUUAGGAUGUGAGCUGGCAAGAGGUAAGGGUGCUUGUUAAACAAGGAUGCUUUGGGGUUACAUAAUUGUGACAGGGGAUGGGAGACUUUUAAACUACAAGGUUGCAACUAGCAGCUGCUAGCAAAUACUGUUUUGAAAACAGCUGGUGCUGUCCUUGAGUUUAAUACAAUUCAGAGAAAAUUCAAGUUCUCAGUGAUGCAUGAAUGUGUCUCAGACCAGAUCCUCAGUGUCUGCCAGAUUACAUUUUUGUAUGCCUGAACUAUGAAUACUCCAUUAUAAUUUCAAUUUGUCAUCAAAAUAAUUGUGGGGAAGUUUUUAAUCAAUGACAUAUACUUAUCAUCAUUGCCUUUACUAUCUGUGUGAUAGUGGGCAACACAUUUACCCUUCUGUGUGUCAUUUAUAAAACGGUACCCACCUAAAAGUGUGGUUGAUAGUUUAUAACAUGUACAAUUUUGCAAAAACUACCUGGCCAAAAAACUCCUUUGAAUGAAAAAUAGAUACGAUAAUUUUUAUUAUUAUCAACAUUAUACUUAAUGAGUUUCUUAAUAUAAAGACAUAAUGAAGGUAACAAAUUUAGAAAGCCAUUCAUCACUUAUUGUAUUUCAGGAAAUUCAUCUUUGAUAAAAUCCAUAAGAAUAUAAAGAACAUGUAAAGAUCAAAUGCAGACUUCAUUGCUUAAGUUCUACCAGAAAAUUAGAGCUGAAAAGUAACCCUAAGGAUUUAAUGAGUGUGAGAAUAUUAAGAAUAUAGCUGGUGAAACAUCAGGGAAUGGUGUGAAGGAUUUUACCAAUAAUAUAGAAGUUAAAAGGAUAACAAAGAGCAAACUGCCUAGAAAAUAUUUACCAACUUUAUUAUGAAAAAUUUCUGACAAAAACAUAGAACGCAUUCUGUAAUGAACAUCCAUUUACCCUUCACCUAGAUUUGAAAAUUUACACUUUGUAUAUUUGCUUCAUUUUUCUAUAAAAUAUAAUUUUUGCUGUACCAUUUAAUAAUAAAUUGUAAACAUUGUAUCACUUUACCCUCAAUAAAUCAGUUUGUAUCCUAGAAGGUAGGAUAUUACCAAAAUAUUAUAAUCGUACCUUAAAAAUUAAUUCUAUACAUUCUAAUAUUCAGUCCAUAUUUAAUUUUCCCUAAUAUUCUCAAGAAUAUCUUUUAACAAGGAUUCACUCUCCAGGCUCAUACUUGUUAGUGGUUAUGUCACUUUUAAACUGAACAGCACUCCCCCAUCUUUGUUUCAUGGUUAUGUUUUUUUGAAGAAUCCAUCACAGUUGUCUUAGAAUGUCUUAAGUUCUUGGUUUGUCAAAUUUAUUUCCUCAUAAUGUUGUUCAUCUUGUUACACUGUUUCUAAAUUGGAACUUAAGUAGAAGCUUGAUUUGCCUCUUGUUAAACAUUUUUAGCAAGAACACUUCACAGGUAUCUGUGACUGCCAGAUCUCUCAUUAUAAAACUAGCUUAUUUUUUUGCAAUUAGUAAGUAAUUGGGUAAUAAUUUGCACCUCCUCUUGGAAAUGUAUAAUAAUCUAUAUGUGUAAAACAAGUAAUAGAUUAAACUGAAAGUCAAAUUUUAAAUUAUAACCCAUUCAGAGAGGACUAGUACUGAAAUGUUUGUAUUUCAAAAUUUGUGAGAUGUAGCCAAACCUCUACUCAGUGUGAAAUUAACAUCCUUCGAUGCAUACAGAAAACUAAAAUUAAGGGAUGGGACUUUUUGUUAUCUCCCACCUCAGCACCUAUUCCAGUGUCUUUCUCAUAUAUUAGGGACUUGAUAAAACUUGAAAAAAAUAAGCAGUCAAGUGAAAAAGUUAAAAAAUUACAAAAUAAAACGAAUGCUAACAGAAGUAGUUAAUGCAAUUUAAACUAGAAAUUAAUUUUAAAAAACACUCGUAAACUUAUCCAAUUUUUCCAAUUUAAAUUAGAAAUUAAUUUUUAAAAACACUCGUAGACUUACCCAAUUUUUCCAAAUUUGAUAAAAGAAAA